AUUGAACGCUGGCGGCAGGCCUAACACAUGCAAGUCGAGCGAGCGGCGGACGGGUGAGUAAUGUAUGGGGACUGCCCGAUAGAGGGGGAUAACUACUGGAACCGGUGGCUAAUACCGCAUACUCUCGUAUAACCCAUAUGGGAUUAGCUAGUAGGUGGGGUAAAGGCUCACCUAUGCGACGAUCUCUAGCUGGUCUGAGAGGAUGAUCGGCCACACUGGGCAUGAGACAAGGCCCAGACUCCUACGGAGGCAGCAGGGGGGACUAUUGCACAAUGGGCGCAAUCCUGAUGCAGCCAUGCCGCGUGUAUGAAGAAGGCCUUAGGGUUGUAAAGUACUUUCAGCGAGGAGGCGUUACCCGCAGAAGAAGCACCGGCUAACUCCGUGCCAGCCGCCGCGGUAAUAC
rnacentral:rRNA from 1 species